rnacentral:misc_RNA from 1 species
CAACAGCGUUUUGCCCAGUCCACUCUCCAGGCCAUAGGCGAUUUUUUUUUCUUUUGCAACUAUAAUCGAUCUUUAAAUUUAUCAGCAACAAUAUUAAGACGUUGGUGUGGUAGCCUACGAUCAGCAGUUACGUCAAUGAUAUUAUGAUCUUGUAUUACCUCAUCUAAUCGAGCUUGUAUACACGGAAUGUUAGACUUUUUUCCACUAAGCAACCUAAUAGGUGAAAAGCCGGUCGAUUGCUGUACAGUAGUGUUUAAGGAAAGUUAUACUUUCCACAACCCACAGAACGCUCGGCCAGUCUGACACAUUGGUAUAAGAAGUGCUUAUCAUAUUUGUUAUUGUAGCUACGUACCGUUCGACUUGGCCAUUCCCCCGGGGAGUACCAGUCGCUACCAUAU